rnacentral:rRNA from 1 species
GAGUGGCGAACUGGUGAGUAACACGUGGGAAACCUGCCCAGAAGCGGGGGAUAACACCUGGAAACAGAUGCUAAUACCGCAUAACAACUUGGACCGCAUGGUCCGAGUUUGAAAGAUGGCUUCGGCUAUCACUUUUGGAUGGUCCCGCGGCGUAUUAGCUAGAUGGUGAGGUAACGGCUCACCAUGGCAAUGAUACGUAGCCGACCUGAGAGGGUAAUCGGCCACAUUGGGACUGAGACACGGCCCAAACUCCUACGGGAGGCAGCAGUAGGGAAUCUUCCACAAUGGACGAAAGUCUGAUGGAGCAACGCCGCGUGAGUGAAGAAGGGUUUCGGCUCGUAAAACUCUGUUGUUAAAGAAGAACAUAUCUGAGAGUAACUGUUCAGGUAUUGACGGUAUUUAACCAGAAAGCCACGGCUAACUACGUGCCAGCAGCCGCGGUAAUACGUAGGUGGCAAGCGUUGUCCGGAUUUAUUGGGCGUAAAGCGAGCGCAGGCGGUUUUUUAAGUCUGAUGUGAAAGCCUUCGGCUCAACCGAAGAAGUGCAUCGGAAACUGGGAAACUUGAGUGCAGAAGAGGACAGUGGAACUCCAUGUGUAGCGGUGAAAUGCGUAGAUAUAUGGAAGAACACCAGUGGCGAAGGCGGCUGUCUGGUCUGUAACUGACGCUGAGGCUCGAAAGUAUGGGUAGCAAACAGGAUUAGAUACCCUGGUAGUCCAUACCGUAAACGAUGAAUGCUAAGUGUUGGAGGGUUUCCGCCCUUCAGUGCUGCAGCUAACGCAUUAAGCAUUCCGCCUGGGGAGUACGGCCGCAAGGCUGAAACUCAAAGGAAUUGACGGGGGCCCGCACAAGCGGUGGAGCAUGUGGUUUAAUUCGAAGCUACGCGAAGAACCUUACCAGGUCUUGACAUACUAUGCAAAUCUAAGAGAUUAGACGUUCCCUUCGGGGACAUGGAUACAGGUGGUGCAUGGUUGUCGUCAGCUCGUGUCGUGAGAUGUUGGGUUAAGUCCCGCAACGAGCGCAACCCUUAUUAUCAGUUGCCAGCAUUAAGUUGGGCACUCUGGUGAGACUGCCGGUGACAAACCGGAGGAAGGUGGGGAUGACGUCAAAUCAUCAUGCCCCUUAUGACCUGGGCUACACACGUGCUACAAUGGAUGGUACAACGAGUUGCGAACUCGCGAGAGUAAGCUAAUCUCUUAAAGCCAUUCUCAGUUCGGAUUGUAGGCUGCAACUCGCCUACAUGAAGUCGGAAUCGCUAGUAAUCGCGGAUCAGCAUGCCGCGGUGAAUACGUUCCCGGGCCUUGUACACACCGCCCGUCACACCAUGAGAGUUUGUAACACCCAAAGUCGGUGAG